AGAAGAGGAAGAAGACUCCGAAGCCGGAUAGAAGAGAAAAUGGGGGAAAAAGAAGAUAAAGACAGAAAACGCAAGAAAUCUGCUGCUACUUUGUCCCAAAAUAUUGGCGCCAUGUUCCAAAAAAGGGCCAAAAUGGAUUGGAACUGAUGAGUGUUCUGAUGCCAUAAACAACAACUGAAGUGAGCAACAGAGACAGACAACAACAGACAGACAGAGGAGGGGAGAGCAACAACAGAGACAGACAAUGAAAGAGAGAAACAACAGACAACUGAGUAACCGCGCCCUAUUUAAGGAGGCAGAAGGAGAGCAGAGGGGAGAGCUCAUCCCGGGAUUAGAACACAGCGUGCGCGCGUGUGUGUGUUUCUCUCAAGAAUAAAAGUAGGCUGUUAAACUGAAAGUCUGACAAUAAAAAGCCUAUUAGUACCAGAA